GGAAACCGAGUCUUAACCGGGCGUUAAGUUGCAGGGUAUAGACCCGAAACCCGGUGAUCUAGCCAUGGGCAGGUUGAAGGUUGGGUAACACUAACUGGAGGACCGAACCGACUAAUGUUGAAAAAUUGACGGAUGACCUGUGGCUGGGGGUGAAAGGCCAAUCAAACCGGGAGAUAGCUGGUUCUCCCCGAAAGCUAUUUAGGUAGCGCCUCGUGAACUCAUCUCCGGGGUAGAGCACUGUUUCGGCUAGGGGGCC
rnacentral:rRNA from 1 species